GACAAGUGUGCUAAGUGCCAUCAGGAACGCGGCCAUUAUCACCCGAUGGAGCAACAUGGUCGGCGGUGAUUAAAGCUUUGAAGCCAAUGAAGGCACCUGUAGUGUUCACGUGUACCUACGCGCUGUGGCAUUCCUUGGCCACUCCAGACAUUCCGCCCCCUGGACCUUUUCCAAUGUAUGUCUCCCUCUACGAUGCCGCCAUGCGCUGGCCCGCCUGGACAUGGAGUUUCAAACUUUAUCUUGCUGCGUCCAAAAUUAGCGAUGACGACCAACAGCGUGGGCUACUCCAGUACCUGGGAGGAGACGACAUCCAGCAACUCGUGCCCACUCUCAGCAACACAGGGGCAACAUUCGACGACCUCGCCAAAGCGUUGCAGGACGAGUUCGAUAAACACCAAAACAAAAGAACGGCCGAAAGAAGAAGAGCUAGCCGGCACCGGCACGGUAGAGAAAAGAUUUCGCUGCGCGUGUCCUCACUAAGCCGGAGAAGGCUAAACAUCACUGCCGCCCAAUGCUCUGGCUACAUACCUUCAGGAGAGAAUCAACGCUUACCUUACAACUGCUGACACUAACCGUGAAGCUGGCCACGUUCACAUCCGUGUGCUCUCCAGCAGCAAGAAGACAGUGAAGGUCAAAGAUGCCACCAAAGAAAAGUUUGAGGAGCUAAGUGCUACAUCUUUCCCGGAGGAGUGUCCUUAUGUAGCAGAGUCUGUCUUUGCUUUUGUGGAAAUUGAUGGCAAGGACGUGUGCUUCUUUGGCAUGAUC